UACGUAGGGUGCAAGCGUUGUCCGGAAUUAUUGGGCGUAAAGAGCUCGUAGGCGGUUUGUCGCGUCGGCCGUGAAAUCUCCACGCUUAACGUGGAGCGUGCGGUCGAUACGGGCAGACUUGAGUUCGGUAGGGGAGACUGGAAUUCCUGGUGUAGCGGUGAGAUGCGCAGAUAUCAGGAGGAACACCGGUGGCGAAGGCGGGUCUCUGGGCCGAUGACUGACGCUGGAGGAGCGAAAGCGUGGGGAGCGAACAGG
rnacentral:rRNA from 1 species